rnacentral:snRNA from 1 species
GGAUGUGAGGGCAAUCUGGCUGUGACAUCAGUCACCCACUUGAUUGACAGUGUUGAUUCAGCUGAUCUGACUGGCUAGGUGGAUGACCCCUUCCUCUCUCCCCAUUCCAUGUGUGUCCCCCCAGAAGCUUCCCACUAGGUCGAAGAGGGCAACCUUCCCAGAAUAGAGAAGGACUCAUCUUACUAGUAGCUGAGCUCCACUGCUAGUACCUCCAAACAAGUUCUCAUAAUAGCUGUAUUAAUUCAUAUCACCAAGAACAGUAUGCAAAGCUUCCCUUUAUUCUACAUUCUCCCAACACUUGUUAUCUUGGGGGACUUUUGUUGUUG